CUGACCCGGGAGGAGGCUCAGCGCCAGGGCGACCCACAGCAGCCAUAUAUGGAUGGAGGGGGACUGCGCCUUGGCACUGAUGUCUGAAACAACAAAGGACACGAACACAAAAGAGUGGUAAUGGCAGCGUGGGCUGUGAAGUUGAGUGACUCUUUUUCUGCCAGAGGAACAUCGUCAAUGAGGAGUCACCUCUGAUAAGGCCAGAUGAGAAGGAGAGGCUGAAAACAGGUGUCAAAGUGGAAAGAGGGAGCACUGGGGAAAAACUCACUGGGUGGAGGGUCUCGACACCCUCCUUCCUCAAGGGUGACGUCGUCUAUGGCUAUGUCUCCCUCGAUUCCUGGACCACGGAUCCCUUCCAGAAUGACCUGCAAAGAGCAAAACAAGCCGCAAGUCGUCAAACUGGGUCACAGAGAGACGGAUGUGGCGUCACUCAGAUGCAGUGCCUACAGUAGAUGGUGAACCUCUCCGUACUGGCAGACAUAGAGUCCUGAUUACCAAUGUUUUAGUUGAGCACUUAAUAAAUCUGAUCUCUAAAAAUCAUGCUAGUGUUCCGUGAAUUGUAACUGAGACAUACAAUCAGUGCCUCCAUGUAGCGAUCAGGCUAAAAUCUGUUGAUGGAGCAAUUUUUUACACAAUUUUGGAAAAGCGUCUUGUAGUGAAUUUGACGGGUGUCAAAAAAGAGGCGUCCAAUGCAAAUUUGAUGCCCAAAUGCGUUUGGUGUGAACGCACCAUAAUGCACGAAGCACGAGCCUCUUUGCACAAAACUUAGUUUUAGCAAUUGACAAAAUAUUUAGAAUAAUCUUUUACAAGCUUGUUUUUCCUUUGCUUUUUGGAUUUGGGGGCAAACAAGACAGAUGCAUUGGUGUUCACAUUAAAUUUCCGUCUGCACCAGAAUGAGCUCUCUCUGAAAAAACUCAACUGAACUCUGAUAACAACUCACUUUGGCAACAAUGCUAUUAGCAAAAGUCCCAAUAGGAUUUUUUCCUACAGCAAAAUUAAUUAAAACAGUGAUUUUAUUAAAUAUUAUUACAAUUAUUAAAGCAUAGUUUAAUGCUAAAACACAUUACAGCUAAAUUCUAUGUAAAUUAUUUUGGUGGUAACUAAUUACAGCAAUUCUGUAACGGAAACGCUGCCGCUCUUUUGUGACCAACAUUCCCCUUUUGGAUGUGCUGAGUCAGGGUGCAGACUCAAAGGAGGUGAACACCUCAUAAACACAGACAGAUGAGAU